rnacentral:rRNA from 1 species
GAUGAACGCUGGCGGCGUGCCUAAUACAUGCAAGUCGAGCGAACAGACGAGGAGCUUGCUCCUCUGACGUUAGCGGCGGACGGGUGAGUAACACGUGGAUAACCUACCUAUAAGACUGGGAUAACUUCGGGAAACCGGAGCUAAUACCGGAUAAUAUAUUGAACCGCAUGGUUCAAUAGUGAAAGACGGUUUUGCUGUCACUUAUAGAUGGAUCCGCGCCGCAUUAGCUAGUUGGUAAGGUAACGGCUUACCAAGGCAACGAUGCGUAGCCGACCUGAGAGGGUGAUCGGCCACACCGGAACAGAGACCCGGUCCAGACCUCUACGGGGGGCAGGAGGAGGGAAUUGUCCGCAAUGGGGGAAAGCCUGACGGGGCCACGCCGCGGGGGGGAAGAAGGUCUUCGGAUCGGAAAACUCUUUUUUUAGGGAAAAAAAAAUGUGUAAGUAACUAUGCACCUUGUGGCGGUACCUAAACAAAAAGCCCCCGCUAAACACG